CCUACGUGUGGCAGCAGUGAGGAAUAUUGGUCAAUGGGCGCGAGCCUGAACCAGCCAAGUCGCGUGAAGGAUGACUGCCCUACGGGUUGUAAACCUCUUUUAUAAAGGAAUAAAGUGAGGCACGUGUGCCGUUUUGUAAGUACUUUAUGAAUAAGGAUCGGCUAACUCCGUGCCAGCAGCCGCGGUAAUACGGAGGAUUCGAGCGUUAUCCGGAUUUAUUGGGUUUAAAGGGAGCGUAGAUGGGUUGUUAAGUCAGUGGUUAAAGUUUGGGGCUCAACCGUAAAAUUGCAAUUGAUACUGGCAGUCUUGAGUACAGUUGAGGUAGGCGGAAUUCGUGGUGUAGCGGUGAAAUGCAUAGAUAUCACGAAGAACUCCGAUUGCGAAGGCAGCUUACUAAACUGCCACUGACAUUGAGGCUCGAAAGUGUGGGUAUCGAACAGGAUUAGAUACCCCAGUAGUC
rnacentral:rRNA from 1 species